AAUUGGUUUAGAUCACGUUUAGAUGGCAUUUACGUUGAUCUAAACGUUUAGGAACCUAUUCUAAACGUGUUCUGAAUAUUUAAUUUGCGUUGAAAAGCUAAAUCAAACGAUUUCCGUACGGAAUAAAUUAGUUUCGCACAAAAUGUGUCGGACAUUUUGAAUCUUUCAUUAUGUCCAGUCAGUUGCAACAACAAUUAAAGCAGCAGGAAACAACCAAGUACACAUGCAAGUGACAAUGAGGAUUGCAAAAGUUUUAAAUAUCAGAAACUGAAGAAGGAAUUGAUAAUUAGCAGAUAACAAAAAAGCGCAAAAGUACUGAUUAUACAACUCUUUUAAAGUUGAGGAAGAAUUUUAUGUGGUAUGUUAAUGCAAAAGGUACGAAUAUUGACAGUUAAACCAUCACCACCUCCACAGCCAUCUUAUCUCAAGCAUUCAAUUGCAUUCUAAGUUAUCUUUAUUCAAAUCAAGUGUGACUACUAUACCAAAAGACUGUAGAAUGGACCAAUCAACUAACCCAUCAGUACUUGCAAAGUCUUCUUUUCUGUAAGCCCGAAAUUUGAGUUCUAAAAUACCAUUAUCCACAUAACUACUAUAUCAAAGCACAAACUAAUGGAUUGAUCAA
rnacentral:lncRNA from 1 species